rnacentral:lncRNA from 1 species
UACCCCUUUUUUGUGGUGCUCCUCCAAUAUUUUGGGAUAUCACUGUGUACGGUGGUGCCGAAUGCAAGGCGACAUAUUUGCGGCUUCACCAUGUUAUGCUUGCUGGCUGGGAUUGUGCCAAAUAUCACAUUCUUUUAUUUUUUCUUCAACCUCAAGUGGCACCCAAGCUUACACAGGUGGUGGUAUGUGACUCUGUGGAAGAAGGAUGGCUUUCGUCUGAUAUUUUCAGGUAUGCCUUCCACCAUGCACGGUUGGAAGCCAAGGUUUCUCUUCGUCUCAUAAACAUCAAGCGAAGACUAGAAUUUUUUCACCUAGGGCAAACCUCAGGAGGCUGUGCUAAAGGAACCUUCAAUGGAUAAGAGCCUGGAGCAGGAGAUGGCAGCUCUACAGAGU